rnacentral:tRNA from 1 species
GCCGGGGUGGUGGAAUGGUAGACACUGCGGACUUAAAAUCCGCUGAACGCAAGUUCGUGCGGGUUCGAGUCCCGCUCUCGGCACCA